rnacentral:rRNA from 1 species
AACGCUAGCUACAGGCUUAACACAUGCAAGUCGAGGGGAAACGACAUCGAAAGCUUGCUUUUGAUGGGCGUCGACCGGCGCACGGGUGAGUAACGCGUAUCCAACCUGCCCAUCACUUGGGGAUAACCUUGCGAAAGUAAGACUAAUACCCAAUGACGUCUCUAGAAGACAUCUGAAAGAGAUUAAAGAUUUAUCGGUGAUGGAUGGGGAUGCGUCUGAUUAGCUUGUUGGCGGGGUAAUGGCCCACCAAGGCGACGAUCAGUAGGGGUUCUGAGAGGAAGGUCCCCCACAUUGGAACUGAGACACGGUCCAAACUCCUACGGGAGGCAGCAGUGAGGAAUAUUGGUCAAUGGACGAGUGUCUGAACCAGCCAAGUAGCGUGCAGGAUGACGGCCCUAUGGGUUGUAAACUGCUUUUAUAAGGGAAUAAAGUGAGAGUCGUGACUCUUUUUGCAUGUACCUUAUGAAUAAGGACCGGCUAAUUCCGUGCCAGCAGCCGCGGUAAUACGGAAGGUCCGGGCGUUAUCCGGAUUUAUUGGGUUUAAAGGGAGCGUAGGCCGGAGAUUAAGCGUGUUGUGAAAUGUAGAUGCUCAACAUCUGAAUUGCAGCGCGAACUGGCAGACUUGAGUGUGCGCAACGUAGGCGGAAUUCGUGGUGUAGCGGUGAAAUGCUUAGAUAUCACGAAGAACUCCGAUUG